UGUCUCCAAUCCAAGCAGCAGGCAGAAAGACCUCCUAAAAGUUUGAAUAAACAAGUGUAAAUUUACUCUCUCAAUUGUACAUCUCAAUCCCUAAUCCUGCCCCAAAAAAGCCAGUGGAGAAUCGCCUGCCACUCCCAUGCCGUUCCCCACCGGUGCUGGCUCAGCCUGAGUAGGUUUAUAGUAUUCAGAUUGGUGCCUUAUUUGCCAUAUCAAAGGGAUUUGGUGCUGCAACUUCGACCAGGUUUUCACAAAUUGCAACGGGAUUAAAUAAACACAAUCUGGGUUUUUUUGUUGUUCUUUUUUAUUGAAAGCCAGUAGCAAAAAUAAUGGAUGCUGUAAUUCAAAAUAAAGUGAGAACAUAUAUGGAGAGUACAUGACAACGCAUGGUCAAGAGACAUGCUCAAACCAUAUUUGCAGUGGGAAAUACAAAAAAAGAUGUGACAUGUUGGGAUGUGAACAAGCUGAGCAGAGGAGAAGAUAAAUCAACAAAUAAGAGAGAGAUGCUGAUAAAUUCUCUGAUUGAAGCCUAUGACCUGGCCUUUGCAGAAAGCAGGUCAUCAUUAUAUAACCAGGAAGUGGCCUGCCAACAUCCUGCAGCUUGUUUAUGGUGACAUCUUGUUGCCAGGGUGAUGGGGUCCUACCAGGCAGUGUCUUCAUUAGAAAUCACACAUGGCUGAAUCUGCCACUCUGCUCAGUCAACCUGCGCUACAUUAUCCACCUGAUUUCACACAAAAUUUGUUGAAACUGCAAUGAGUACAGGUGAUUUCACAUAUGCCAGUAGUGAAGACUCAAAAUCAAGUUCAAAAUCAUGACUUCAUUAACAAAAUACCUGAUAAACCGUUACUGUGUGGAUUUGAAUUAAAAGUAUGGAAUCAAGCAAGUGAUUUGUAAUGUUUCAAUUUGUCUUUGAACAAGCAAAACAACAUAUUUAAUGACAUGGUUUUACUAAAGAAACUUUUUUACUCAAAUCUUCAAGCAGAUGCAAAAGUAAGGAUCAGAUAGAUGUAAUAAAAUUCCAAAUGCAAAAACUUAACAAGUGGUAUUCUUUUGUUAAGAACCUUUUGUGUAAAGGCACAUAUUACUGUAUGUUUACUUUUUAAAAGUUAAUAUUGUUAUCAAACAUUUGGUCUGUAGUUUAUAAUAAAAUGAUUUUCCAUCCCAUAAAUAAAUGACCAUAUCUUAUUAUCUGAGAUUCAUUACCCAAAAAGGAAUGCUUUUGUAAAUGUUGUCAAGAGGUCUUGUAUUUUUGUAAAUUGUGAAAGUAUGUACAAAAAUUCCGCUGUGAAAUUGAUCAGCAAAUUCCUGACAACUCAUGGCAUACAACCCCUUUGCCUAGGCACUGAAAAAUCUGUGCAAAUUAUUGCAAAAUAUUCAAUUAAAUAUCAUGGAGUGAACUGACCACAGCUUAUUUUGGUAAAUAACAUAAUACCAAAUUACCAAAAUCUGAAACGUGAUGAGACCAGCCAUUCUUAUGGCUUUUUAAUCAGAAAACUAGAUUCUGAAAACACCCACGUUUCCUCCAGAGAGAGCAGCAGGAGGCGCUGUAAAGCUGUUAGCCUUCUAAUAAUGAAGCAGCAGUUAAAACAAACAAGGAUGGUGGGGGAAGGGUCAGUACUGUGGCUUGUGCACAUUAAUGCAAGAUUAACAUCGAAUGAGCAAUGGAAGUCCAUGACAAUGAUAUCAAAUACAUGGCCCCUACCUGUGAGGCCUAGUAAAAAAAAAGAGGGCUUGGCCUCGGCCUACAGUAAUGUGCAUGACAUAAUUAUACUAAAUAUCAAGGGAAGCCACUGGGCCAUAUGACGUGAAGUGCCAUGCAAAGUGCUACAUCAGGGUGGUUCAGUAGAACUGUGAAAGCACAUCCAUCAUCCAUCAUCCAUUUUUUUUUUUUGGCUAUCAUUUUUCCUUCAUCGUGUAGCUGAAGUGGUAGUCCGGCUCUUAUUUCACUGGGGAAACAAUCUGACAGAUUUAUUAUAAUAUUUCAUUCAUAUUUACAGUGGCCUCCACUAAUAUUGGCAGCAAAGAAGGCUGUGAAAAAAUGUCUUUAUUGUUUAAUCUUUUGGUUAAAAAAAAUUCAGUGAUCAAAAAAUGACAAUGAUCCUAAACAUAAAUCAAAAUCAACACAAAAAUGGUUUACUGACCACAAAAUCAAGGUCCUGCCAUGACCAUUCCAGUCCACUGACUUGAAACACACAGAGAACCUGUGGGGAGAACUGAAGAAUGGUCUCAGAUCCCUUGCCAUGUAUUCUCCAACCUCAUCAGGCAUUAUAGGAGAAAACUUAGAGCUGUUAUCUUUGCAAAGGGAGGUAGCACAUGGUAUUGACUAAAAGGGUGCACACCUAAUUGUUGCACACCUAUAUUUCACAAAGAUUUUUUUUAUAAACCUGUGUUUUGUUUGCAAUUGUUUGAGAUCCAUGAGAGCAGAGUAUUUUUGGUGAUUUUUUAAACAAAAGAUCAAAAGGUUAAACAAUAAAGACAAUUUCUCACAGCCUUUCU
ensembl:lncRNA